rnacentral:piRNA from 1 species
UGAGUGACCAAGUGUGACACCAGCUGGACU